rnacentral:lncRNA from 1 species
AAAAUACAAAAAGAGUUAACCAUAAGCUCAGGGUCUGAGUUGUGCACUGCCUAUGAUCCACUCCACAGAAGUUCUGAUUUCUUCUCUGUGCAAUGGUUCUGCCGGCCUUUCUGCCGCCCAGAGGUCCUGGUGAGUGGGCAUCAGAGACUCCUUAGGGCUCUGUGGAGGCUCAGGGAGGAGCUUUCGCUUCCCUCCUGAUGCUGGUGCCUCCAGAGCUAGACAGGAAGAUGGAAGCUGGGUGGCCCGAGCAGGGGUGGGGGCUUGGCUGGCCCUCCUGUCAGCUUGAGCUGGCUUGAGCCCAGGCAGGGCCCUGACAGCCUGGGCAGGCUCAGAGGGAGGGAGGUGGGAACCAAGAGACCCGGGGAGGGCUCCCGGGGCCAAGACCCAGGUCCCUGCCCUGCACAUCUGCCAAGGGACUUCCUCAGAAGCUGCUGAUGUUAGGCUUUGGCUUCCUGCUGUGGACUGAGGGGAUGAACUCCGACGGGAGGACAUUCAGGCCUUGGAGGAAAUGAGAGCUUGGCUGACAGGAGGGCCUGGACUCACGAAGACACUUGGACACCCACAAGCACAGAGACAUGGGUGUGUGACAACUGACCAAGGGGCAUGCAGGUAUGUAUGCGUGGUGCACACAGACACCCUGGGCACAGCCCACUGGCACCAGCGUCAACCCCUGCGUGGUGGGCUGCAUCCCACCCUUCAGGCAGGCCCUGUGGGGCAGGUUUCAGGGAGGAAGGAGGCUGAGUGGGCAGAGUCUGAGGACGCGGCCACCAUCGCUCCCUGGCACUACAUCUGUGUCCGGGAUCUAGGAGGCAGUCCUCCAUCACUGAGCCCCAAGAUGACUGUCACAGCUUGGUCUAAAGCAGGGGCCGGGCCUGAGCCCUGGCCCCUGCCCUGGAGGAGCUCACAGAGCCCCCAGCUGGGGCAUAUCUGGUUUCCGGGGGCAGGGGCGAUACCCAGAGGAGGAAGAAGGGAUUCUGAGAGAGCCCAACAGGCUCCGAGCCUCAGGCUGGAGCUGAGCUUGGGGCAGCAAGGAAGGACCAGGUGCGAGGGCAGAACCAUGCGGCCCGACCCCUGCAGCACGGCCUGUGGCCUCCCCCAGCUCCUGCCCGUGCUUCUGGGUCAGUCUGGACUUUGCCACUUCUGACCAAAAGCCACCGCAAACCCACUCAAGCCAAAAGAGGAAGUGACCGUUAGGCCCAACUGGGAAGGCUGGCGGCCAGGGGCACUCCAGGCAGGGCGAGGGGGGCGGCCGGGGGCGCUCCAGGCGGGGCGAGGGAGACACCCAGAACUCCAGGCAGGAGUCCUCGGGUGCCACCUUUCCUCUCCACCUGGCCCUGCGUGGGCUCUGUCCUCAGGGUGGCCCGCCGUAGUCCCCCUCCCCACUCUGAGUUUCCUGUCCCAAAGUCCUAAGGAAGUUUCCAGAACUACAUCUCACCAUCUUGAGUCAGCCUUGGCUCAGUGUCCAUCUCACAGGCCUGGAAGGGGCAGGAGUCAGCACUGUCCAGACCACAGGGCCUGAGUGUGGGGAGGGCAGCCGUCUAGGAAGGUGGUGGAGGGUUGUUACCUUGAGGCAAGAGGGCUGCGGGGCAGAAAGACACAGCAGGUGACUGUUGUGGGAGGCCCAAGAGAGGCCUGGGAGAGGGAUGGCCCACAAGGGCUGACCCUCCCGCCACCCAGGGGGCCUUGGACAGGUUUCCUCCUGGCAGGGUGGCCCUUGUGCAUGGAACCCCUACAACGACUAAGGCUGGCAGGCAUGAGGUUUCCUGAAGGAGAAAGAGCUUGUGGGGCCCAGUGUGGC